CCUACGGGAGGCUGCAGUGGGGAAUAUUGGACAAUGGGCGAAAGCCUGAUCCAGCCAUGCCGCGUGUGUGAAGAAGGCCUUCGGGUUGUAAAGCACUUUCAGUGGGGAAGAAAGCCUUGGGGCUAAUACCCUCGAGGAAGGACAUCACCCACAGAAGAAGCACCGGCUAACUCCGUGCCAGCAGCCGCGGUAAUACGGAGGGUGCGAGCGUUAAUCGGAAUUACUGGGCGUAAAGCGCGCGUAGGCGGUCUGAUAAGCCUGUUGUGAAAGCCCCGGGCUCAACCUGGGAACGGCAUCCGGAACUGUCAGGCUAGAGUGCAGGAGAGGAAGGUAGAAUUCCCGGUGUAGCGGUGAAAUGCGUAGAGAUCGGGAGGAAUACCAGUGGCGAAGGCGGCCUUCUGGACUGACACUGACGCUGAGGUGCGAAAGCGUGGGUAGCAAACAGGAUUAGAUACCCCGGUAGUC
rnacentral:rRNA from 1 species